rnacentral:rRNA from 1 species
AUGAAGCCGGAAUUGCUAGUAAUGGCAGGUCAGCAUACUGCCGUGAAUACGUUCCCGGGCCUUGUACACACCGCCCGUCACACCAUGAGAGUUGGGAUACCCGAAGCCUGUGAGCUAACUUAACGGAGGCAGCAGUCGAAGGUAGAAUCAAUGAUUGGGGUGAAGUCGUAACAAGGUAUC